UAAUAUAGGCAUUGAUCCUACUAUGACCUAAAUACUUGUUGCUAAUUUCACAGCUCAGACUCAUAACCUGUAAAUUGAGAUAAUUUUUUCCGUUCCUCCAAAACUCCGCUUCUUAUGGUUGAUAAAAACUCUUAGAGGCAAAAUCCAACCUAAUAAUGACAUUGACAUGCACUAAAUUCAUGAUUUUGCACACACUCAAAGUCACAAAAAUCCAUGAAGCAGCAAAUUCCCAUAUAAAAUCUUUCAUUGAUUCAACAGACAAAAAACAUAACUUAGAUGAUUUUUCAUUUUCCCAUGAAAUACUUAAAAUUAUAUUUUGAAUCUUUUUUGAAAAAAACAAACAAACUUGGCAACUCAAACUAAUUAACCUCUUCCCAUGAGAAGUUUUCUCCAACUCCUUGACCUAAACCAAAAUUAGGUUUAAAAAUGGCAUAAGUUAUAUAUACUGACAAUAUAAAUCAUUAAUUAUACUUUGAUUAAUGUAUUUUAACAUGUUACACGCUCUGUUUUAAUCUAUCUUAGCUUGAUUUGAAGUAUAACGAUCAAACUAGUUGUUCGUGAAUUCAGACACAAAAAUCUUUAAUUUUAUACACAUAAACUCCAAAUAAUAACUAGGUAAUCAAUCGAUGCGUGCUUGUAAUAAAAUUUAGUAUAAUUACAUACCUUAUAAUAAACGAUUUGAUUGUGUAAAUAUAUUUUUCGUACCAAAUCUGUGUAAGAUAGAGAAAUUACAACUUCUGAUCUAUCAGAACUUCAGUGGCCACAGAUCUGCAGUCUCAAAAUAAACAAAGAAUCUAAUUUUCACCUGUUAGAAUUUUUUUUAAAAAAAUUAAAAUUGUUACAUAUAUAAAUAGAUAUAUAACUGACAAGAAUAUUUACUAUAAAGUACUGAAAAAUACAGUAAAAUAAAAUAAAGGAAAAUUAAAUCCAUUUAAUCAUCUAUCUCCAGGUACAAAUGAACUGAGCAUCCGUACUAUUUACUUUUGCUUAGAGAGUGACGGGGCGAAGCUAGAGGGACGAAAGGGGUUCAUUUCACCAAAAAAAUCAAAGAGGAUGAUAUGGAAAAGUCAAGAAAAUAUCGUUAUAUCUAUAUAUAAUAGAUGUUGAUUUUUUCAAAAUUCUGCCUCCACAGCUCAUAAUUAGUUUAGAGCGGAGGCAGAAGAUAUUCAUCUGAACCCCUUUAUAUACAAAACCCUAUUGGAUAUUAGAAAUCCUUAAAAAUCCUAACUCUGUCACUGAUAGUUAUUUAUUGCUGAUGCAGCAUCAUCAAGAUUCUCACUUUAAAAUAAAUAGACAUGGUCAUGAUAUAUUUUAUUUUUCAUUUCAAUUAAAGCUACAUAUAUAACCUUGCCUCUUAAUUUUCAUGUAUGAAUCUUGAUGAUGCUACAUCUGCAAACAACAACUGUUGUUAAUUGUUCGAUAGAUCGAUAAGCCUGAUUCAAAUUCAGAAACCCUAUUUUCUCUAUACCGUUUCAAUUUUAUUGGAUGUCUACAAAAUGAACCACAAACCCUAAAUAAAUGUUUCACAUAGGAUAUAUAUUUAUAGGGUACAAAAUCCAAGUACAUAUAUACAUAUUCUUAGCUACAAAAGUAAAGAUCUAAAUUAAGAAGAAUCUACACUAUUUAAGACUUCAAAACAAAAAAUAAAAUUUAAAAACUUAUAUGUAGAUUGGAAUUGUUCAAAAAUUCCAUCAUAUAUAACUUGACCACAAUCUUUCUAUUGAAGAAGCAAGCUAAAUCAAUACACUAAGAAAUUGAUUAAAUAAAAACAUAAAAUAAAAAUAAAAACAAAAACUCAUAGAAGCAUAUAUCUUCAAGAUCACUAACAAAUAAAUAUAGAAAAAUAUAUCUAAAAAGAUAAUAAUUAUCAAAAUCACUAGCAAAUAAAG
rnacentral:lncRNA from 1 species